rnacentral:rRNA from 1 species
CAGCCGCCGCGGUAAAACGAAGGGGGCUAGCGUUGCUCGGAAUGACUGGGCGUAAAGGGCGCGUAGGCGGAUUGUUUAGUUAGGCGUGAAAUUCCUGGGCUUAACCUGGGGACUGCGCUUAAUACAGGCAGUCUAGAGUGAGGAAGAGGGUUGUGGAAUUCCCAGUGUAGAGGUGAGAUUCGUAGAUAUUGGGAAGAACACCGGUGGCGAAGGCGGCAACCUGGUCCUUGACUGACGCUGAGGCGCGAAAGCGUGGGGAGCAAACAGGAUUAGAUACCCCAGUAGUCCCUGUCUCUUAUAC